UACGUAGGGUGCGAGCGUUAAUCGGAAUUACUGGGCGUAAAGCGUGCGCAGGCGGCGCCGCAAGUCAGGCGUGAAAUCCCCGAGCUUAACUUGGGAAUGGCGCUUGAAACUACGGUGCUGGAGUGUGGCAGAGGGAGGUGGAAUUCCACGUGUAGCAGUGAAAUGCGUAGAGAUGUGGAGGAACACCGAUGGCGAAGGCAGCCCCCUGGGCUGAGAUUGACGCUCAGGCACGAAAGCAUGGGGAGCAAACAGG
rnacentral:rRNA from 1 species